rnacentral:tmRNA from 1 species
UACGGAUUCGACAGGGGUAGUUUGAGCUUAGGUUGCGAGUCGAGGGGAUCGGCCUCGUUAAAACGUCAAAGCCAUAACUGGCAAAACUAACAACAACCUAGCUUUCGCAGCUUAAUAACUGCAUAGCUGUUCGCCCCUCCAUCGCCUAUGUGGUAGGGUAGCGGACUCACUCUUAGUAGGCUACGCCGGAUUCCACCGCCUGAGGAUGAAGGAAGAGAACAACCAGGCUAGCUGACCGGACGCCGGUCGAUAGGCAGAAGAUUCAGCGAAAUACCAAUAUAUCGACUACACUCGUAGAUGCUUAAGUGGCGAUAUCUUUGGACGCGGGUUCGAUUA